rnacentral:rRNA from 1 species
UACGUAGGGUGCAGGCGUUAAUCGGAAUUACUGGGCGUAAAGCGUGCGCAGGCGGUUUCUUAAGUCAGAUGUGAAAGCCCCGGGCUUAACCUGGGAACUGCGUUUGAAACUGGGAGACUUGAGUGUGGCAGAGGGGGGUGGAAUUCCGACGUGUAGCAGCGAAAUGCGUAGAUAUGUGGAGGAACACCGAUGGCGAAGGCAGCCCCCUGGGUUAACACUGACGCUCAUGCACGAAAGCGUGGGGAGCAAACAGG